UACAGAGGGUGCGAGCGUUAAUCGGAAUUACUGGGCGUAAAGGGUGCGUAGGUGGUGCGUUAAGUCAGAUGUGAAAGCCCGGGGCUCAACCUCGGAAUUGCAUUUGAUACUGGCGAGCUAGAGUGUGGUAGAGGGUAGUGGAACUCCCGGUGUAGCGGUGAAAUGCGUAGAUAUCGGGAAGAACACCAGUGGCGAAGGCGGCUACCUGGACCAACACUGACGCUGAGGUGCGAAAGUGUGGGGAGCGAAAGGG
rnacentral:misc_RNA from 1 species